GUGGAGAACCAGCUGGUGAGUACCAUUCCCUGCCCGGCUACCUCAAGGACAAUGAAUGCGUCUUGAGUUGCCACCGCUCCGAGUGGCCGCUGAAGCAGAUCCUUCUCAGCAUUUUUACCAUUCCCAGUGAGACCAUCAAUGUCUCGAUCCCUGCAUGAAUGCCAUGAAGGUUGUUGAGAAACUAUAUAGUAUCAGAUGAUGCACAACGAAGGGUCCAAAGGUUGUAGAUCUCCGGUCGUUACAACAUUUGCCAGAUUUAUUGAAGAAAACUGAUCUGCAAAGGAUUCAGUCAGAACUCGUGGCUUGUCUUCCUUCAUUGCGUCACCUAUCUGAUUUGCAGAGAUUAAAGGAUGUACUGAAGACAUCCUUGGCUUCUAUGGAUGUGCUUCCAUCUCUUUCUUGCUGGCACCUACUGCAACUAUUAUCCAAUUGUCUCCCCCUGCAGAUUUACGCAUUCUGAUCACACUAGUAUACCUGUUGUGGUACAGUCUCACUUCUCCCAUUCUGCAGAUUGAAAAAUUCCUACUCGACCUAACAUGAUCUUUGUUACUAGUCCUAGUGUAAAUGUCAUAAAUUUUUCAGAAGGCUCUGUUCUUUUGCCUCAAUAGAUUG